rnacentral:lncRNA from 1 species
CUUGCGCAUGCGUACUGCCCAUAGCCGUUUCUGGAGCAGGUUAACUGACUUCUGUUUACUGUCAAGUGUUAAGGAUCGCUGCCUAGAACGUUUUCAGCCUCCGAGACUUCCUGCUGAAUGCACUCCUGCUUUCUAGUUCUUUCUGAUCGUUGGAUGGCUAUUCUGGCUCAGACUACUCUCCAAGCUGACUGAUUCAAUCUGGCUUCUCUUAGCUUCCGACUGAACUGCUCUGAUUAAAGGUUUGUAUUUCGGGCUCGUCUGUAUUUCAGUCGGAGGGAUUAAAGGUGUGAAUUAAGGACUAAGCCACACCACAACUAAAAACAGUGUGAUCAAAUACCCAGCAGCAGGACACAUCACACCUUCACUGAAAGGACCAUCAAUGACAUUGGGAACAGUACCUUCUGGACAUGACAAGCUCCCUGCAUUCAUGAAAUCUCACUACCUCUGGUUACCUGUACAAGAAGCACACAGACGAAGCCAGUCAACAUUCCAGAAAGGAAGCAGGAGGAGCUCACAAGCCCCAGUUGGUAAAUGAGAAGUUACUUACAGUUGGUGUCUACUGGGUAGAGGGAGAAUGGGUUUACCUUAAGGGUAUGGCAAGUCAACCAUCUCCAGUGGAUGGCCUCACACCCAGGAAUGUAUGGGCAACACAAACUGGAUCAAAUUUUUUGAGGAAGGGGGCUAGUCAGAAACUUGGAAGAGGGUAGGGAUAGGUCUGGGAUGAGUUAGGGGAGAUGUGAGUGUGACCAGGAUACACUGUAUGUAUGGAGUGGUUCACUAAUUUAAAAAAAAAAAAGUCAAUUACCAAAUACCAAUUCUAACUUUCUGUGAGUCUUUGGAUACCAGACCUCGUCUUGCUGUUUCUUUCCAUUAGUAAGUGCCCAACUUCUGAGUAUUACUAUGAGACUCAAAUGGGUUAAUAAUGUGUGAUGAACACCAACAGCACGGGGCUCAACAUAUCACAACCCAUGUUAAUUGACAUGCUCUUCACCCACAGUGAUAGCAGCCAUAUUCAGGACUGGUAGACGGUUUGGGGAGGGAUGUGAGAUUAACUUUCUAG